rnacentral:pre_miRNA from 2 species
UUUGAGGGGAAUGUUGUCUGGCUCGAGGUGCGCAGAAACCUGGUGGAGAUCUCAUCUCGAUCUAGGUUGAUCUCGGACCAGGCUUCAUUCCCCUCAAG